rnacentral:pre_miRNA from 1 species
ACAACAUUCGGACCGUCGAUCUACCGAGCAAUAUUACCGGCUUGGUGGAAGAAAUUACCUACCACGU